UCCGGCUUACACCGGCGGUCUCCUAUGAGUUCCCAACUGAAUGGUGGCAACUAAGGACGAGGGUUGCGCUCGUUGCGGGACUUAACCCAACACCUCACGGCACGAGCUGACGACAGCCAUGCAGCACCUGAACCGGCAGUCCCCGAAGGGAAGCCGUGUUUCCACGGCGGUCACCAACAUGUCAAGCCCAGGUAAGGUUCUUCGCGUUGCGUCGAAUUAAACCACAUGCUCCGCUGCUUGUGCGGGCCCCCGUCAAUUCCUUUGAGUUUCACCCUUGCGGGCGUACUCCCCAGGUGGAUUACUUAACGCUUUCGCUAAGACGCUGACAGUUUAUCGCCAACAUCGAGUAAUCAUCGUUUACAGCGUGGACUAC
rnacentral:misc_RNA from 1 species